UGCCCCGAGAGCUUGGCCGCCCCCGUGAGCGCGAAGAAGCCACCCAGCAGGACGCGCAGAGCGGCGAGCCCGAGCGCCAUGGCCGCUCAGUAUGGCUGAGUAGAGUCAGACUCCAGGAGUAACCAUCUACACGUGCCUCGCAGAAGACCGGGGUUUCCUUCCAGCCUGAGCCACCCUAGCUUUGGGAUCUGAGCUGCCACCUAACCUCCUCGGGCCUCCCUAUUUGCAUCUGUAAAAGCGAUUAAGCCUGUUCCCCUUAGGAACAGGCCUAGCACAAAGUCUGGCACCUUUAAGAGCUCAAACGUUAUUUGUAAAUUAGUAAAUUAUGAAAUCAUUAAUAAUAAAUCGGUAACAAGUAAUUAUAAA